GACGAACCGUGCGAACGUUGUUCGGAAUCACUGGGCUUAAAGGGCGCGUAGGCGGGCAAGCAAGUCCGGGGUGAAAUCUUUCGGCUCAACCGGAAAAGUGCCUUGGAUACUGCUUGUCUCGAGGGAGGUAGGGGUUGCUGGAACUUCCGGUGGAGCGGUGAAAUGCGUUGAUAUCGGAAGGAACGCCGGUGGCGAAAGCGAGCAACUGGAUCUCUUCUGACGCUGAGGUGCGAAAGCGUGGGGAGCAAACAGG
rnacentral:rRNA from 1 species